UCACUGGAGAGCUAGUGCAUUAUAAUGGACAGAGAACAAACCUCUGCGUCAUUUGGAAUUUGGAAUGGAGAUACUGACAAAGGCAAGUUCUGAGAUAGCCACAGAGAGCUCCGAUGGAAAAGGCCGGUAACAGCAAAGCACAGCAAACACACCAGACCCACGGACUGAGGGAAGUGUUCAAGGUACCAUGAGAUCUCCGUGAAAGGGGAAACGAAUCCGAAGAUGGAAAUAAGUGCUCUACUCUAGGUCAUCUGCCCCAACACAGGCCUGGCACACUGCUGGGCACAAGGGACUGGAAGCAGAAAAUUUCUACUGGAACAUGAGAAGUUUAACUUCUCUAACUGACAUCAGCACGGCUGCUACAGCCUGAUGAAGAGAGAGCCCAGCACCUGGGACCACUCCAUCCUCCUGGGACCCAUGGGCCAGGUCUGCCCCUGUCACCUGAAGUCAGCCGCCAGCACCAUCUACUAUUCCAUCUUCCAAAUAAUCCUCUAACCUUGAAGUUCAUUUACCCUAGACUAAAGCUAGCUUACAUAUACCAGA